ensembl:lincRNA
UGUUCUACAUUCCCAACAGGGGAUCCACUCUGUUUCUCAGGUACUUCUGAACUCCAGGAAGUCAGGUGGGAAGACUCCCUUUCCAUACGCUCAUCCAACACGUAAUUAUCAAGUGGACGCGACGCUGAGCGAAGGCAUCCGGGAGCGUCCGUGUGAAAUCCAGGAGCAAGACAGGAAUCUGCAAUCCUGUGAAAGCAGCCUGGGGCAUGACUCACCGGUCCCUGUCCAGACCGCUGCUUCUGCUGUGUGCCACCCCGGCCGGCUCCUCUGCAGCUGCCAUCCGAGAGGGCCUUGCUGCCCGCACCCCGAGAAGAGCCGGGAGCUGGAGCCAGCAUCGUUCCCUGGCCAGCUGCCUCUGCGUGCUGCAGGUGGCAGGAUUUCCUGGUUUCAGGGAGAAGGAAGCAAGCGUGAGGGGACCACACAGAGGUGACUCGUCACCGUCACGUUCUUACAGGCAGAAAGGGUUCUCGCCUCCUGAUCCGCGACGCACACCUGUGCCAACCUUCCCCGCCAGCUGCUCACCCCAGGGCCUUGCUGGCCCCGAGGCUGCAGGGACCCGAAGAGCCCAGCUGUCCUCUGGGGACUUCCUGACUCCUUCCUGCCGUCACCACGGAGCCCUGCCAAGCCCCCCGACAGGCUGGGCCGUGUGCACCCAUUGGCUGGGGAAGUCGUAUAUUCAGAGCCGUGAACUUGGACGGGGGAGGGGGGACUGGGGGUGGAAUAUGAGAAACUGUGGAAUAUGAGGGUGUGUGGGGGGGUCCUCAUCCGCUGAGAAACCACAGAACGGCUGAGAACCCCGGGGAAUGAAAACGAAGCAUCCCUGAUGGGGCUGGAGAGAUUCACCCGGCACACUGAGGGUCCCCAGUGUGGAUGGGAUUUAAAGGGAUUGGGUCUCUACUCAAAUGCCACUCAUCAGAGAGAACCUUUUUUUUUUUUUUUUUUUGGUAUUAGGGAUUGUACCCAGGGUAUUUAACCAUGGAGUCACAUCCCCAGCCCUUUUCAUUUUUUAUUUAGAGACAGGGUCUCACUGAGUUGCUUAGGUGCUCUCUAAGCUGCUGAGGCUGGCCUCCAACUUUUGAUCCUCCUACCUCAGCCUCCCGGGCUGCUGGAAUUACAGGUGAGCACCACGACACUCAGCUUUACCAUUUGCUUUUGAGCUUCCCUGCAGCCCAAGCAAAAAUGGAAGUACAAGCAGUGAUUGACCACUUCCCUGGGUAGAAACAAACCAGAUGCUCAGGAAUCAAGGAAGGAAACGUGUUCUUAGGGAACCAGAGCUUCUACUCCUGCAAAAGCCCAUCUCCGGGGCAGAAGCCAGGCGUCUGCAUUGGCCAGCUGCUCAGCUGGCCCUGGGGCAGAUGUUUUGAGAACAGGACCUUUCUGGGGAACUGACGGCUUCCCCCGAUGCUGUCUCCUUUCUCUCUGGACUUCUCCUUGUACCUCAGGGUCACAUUGUCACACCUCAGCACGCCAUCUCUGGCUCUUCACGUCCUCAUAGGUCCCCUUGGCGAGCCCCCCAAAAAACAAUGAUGGAAAGAAAGAGAGAAACUUCUCCAAACCUCUCCAACCAAAAAAUGACUCUCUGGGCCUCCCAGAACACUCCUUCCAGAACAUUCUACCUGCCUGCACACUGUAAAAAUAUUUUUUUGCCUUAAGGUAUGUGUCGUUCAUGGUCUAAA